rnacentral:rRNA from 1 species
UACGUAGGGUGCAAGCGUUAAUCGGAAUUACUGGGCGUAAAGCGUGCGCAGGCGGUUUGUCGCGUCGGGAGUGAAAAUCCAGGGCUUAACUCUGGACUGGCUUUCGAUACGGGCAGACUAGAGGUAUGCAGGGGAGAACGGAAUUCCUGGUGUAGCGGUGAAAUGCGUAGAUAUCUGGAGGAACACCGGUGGCGAAGGCGGCAUCCUGGACCGACACUGACGCUGAGGAGCGAAAGCCAGGGGAGCAAACGGG